GCCGACGAAGCACAACGGGUUGUGCCCCGGUCUUGUAAACCGGUGGACCCAGUUCGAGCCUGGGCGUCGGCUCCA
rnacentral:tRNA from 1 species